UUAGCCUUAAACCUAAAUAAUUUUAUAACAAAAUUAUUCGCCAGAGAACUACAAGCCAGAGCUUAAAACUCAAAGGACUUGGCGGUGCUUUAUACCCGCCUAGAGGAGCCUGUUCUAUAAUCGAUAAACCCCGAUAAACCUUACCACUCUUUGCCAACUCAGCCUAUAUACCGCCAUCUUCAGCAAACCCUAAAAAGGGACAAAAGUAAGCUCAAUCAUCACCAUAAAAACGUUAGGUCAAGGUGUAGCCUAUAGAGUGGAAAGCAAUGGGCUACAUUUUCUACUUUAGAACACACGAAAGCCCCUAUGAAACUCUAGAGACCAAAGGAGGAUUUAGCAGUAAAUUAAGAAUAGAGUGCUUAAUUGAACAAGGCCAUGAAGCACGC
rnacentral:rRNA from 1 species